rnacentral:rRNA from 1 species
AACGAACGCUGGCGGCAUGCCUAACACAUGCAAGUCGAACGAGACCUUCGGGUCUAGUGGCGCACGGGUGCGUAACGCGUGGGAACCUGCCCUUAGGUUCGGAGUAACUCCCCGAAAGGGGUGCUAAUACCGGAUAAUGUCUUCGGACCAAAGAUUUAUCGCCUUUGGAUGGGCCCGCGUUGGAUUAGCUAGUUGGUAGGGUAAAAGCCUACCAAGGCGACGAUCCAUAGCUGGUCUGAGAGGAUGAUCAGCCACACUGGGACUGAGACACGGCCCAGACUCCUACGGGAGGCAGCAGUAGGGAAUAUUGGACAAUGGGCGAAAGCCUGAUCCAGCAAUGCCGCGUGAGUGAUGAAGGCCUUAGGGUUGUAAAGCUCUUUUACCCGGGAUGAUAAUGACAGUACCGGGAGAAUAAGCUCCGGCUAACUCCGUG